rnacentral:rRNA from 1 species
UACGAAGGGUGCAAGCGUUAAUCGGAAUUACUGGGCGUAAAGCGCACGUAGGCGGAUUGUUAAGUCAGAGGUGAAAUCCCGGAGCUCAACUUCGGAACUGCCUUUGAUACUGGCAAUCUCGAGUCCGGAAGAGGUUAGUGGAAUUCCCAGUGUAGAGGUGAAAUUCGUAGAUAUUGGGAAGAACACCAGUGGCGAAGGCGGCUAACUGGUCCGGUACUGACGCUGAGGUGCGAAAGCGUGGGGAGCAAACAGG